rnacentral:rRNA from 1 species
UACGUAGGGUGCUAGCGUUGCUCGGAAUCACUGGGCGUAAAGCGCACGUAGGCGGAUUGCUAAGUCAGGGGUGAAAUCCUGGAGCUCAACUCCAGAACUGCCUUUGAUACUGGCGACCUUGAGUCCGGGAGAGGUGAGUGGAACUGCGAGUGUAGAGGUGAAAUUCGUAGAUAUUCGCAAGAACACCAGUGGCGAAGGCGGCUCACUGGCCCGUAACUGACGCUGAGGCACGAAAGUCAGGGGAGCAAACGGGG